CAGUCGCCACGGUAAAACGGAGGGGGCUAGCGUUGUUCGGAAUUACUGGGCGUAAAGCGUACGUAGGCGGCUUUGUAAGUUAGAGGUGAAAGCCCAGGGCUCAACCUUGGAAUUGCCUUUGAUACUGGCUAUCUUGAGUUCGGAAGAGGUAAGUGGAAUGCCGAGUGUAGAGGUGAAAUUCGUAGAUAUUCGGCGGAACACCAGUGGCGAAGGCGACUUACUGGUCCGAUACUGACGCUGAGGCGCGAAAGCGUGGGGAGCAAACAGGAUUAGAUACCCCCGUAGUCCCUGUCUCUUAUAC
rnacentral:rRNA from 1 species